rnacentral:lncRNA from 1 species
UGGCAAGCAUAAGGGACGAAGACGGGGAAACAUGUCGGAUGCGAUCAUACCAGCACUAAAGCACCGGAUCCCAUCAGAACUCCGAAGUUAAGCGUGCUUGGACGAGAGUAGUACUAGGAUGGGUGACCUCCUGGGAAGUCCUCGUGUUGCAUUCCUUUUAUAAUUAUUUUUUGCGCCUUGUGACAAACAUGUCGCACGUGCGCGAUAUAUAUUAAUCCCGUUAUAUUAUGUUUGACGUUUGCGAUAUGUUUAAGCUCGAUGCUCAUUGCUCGCGCGUCUUGGGGCGGCUUUGUGGCGCGAAGAGCGCGUUCUGAAAGGGGUGGAAAAAACUCGUGUUGCUGCGGUAUGGAGGGAGGGGUGGAAACCGUGGAAAACUCGUCUCCGUGAUUGAGCGGGAGAGUAAGUAGUAUAGGACAUUAUCCAUUGUUAGGGAACGGUUGUAAUGGUAGUGAGAAUGUAGAAUCGUCUUUGGAGCGGACCUGGGAGUGGCAAGCAUAAGGGACGAAGACGGGGAAACAUGUCGGAUGCGAUCAUAGCAGCACUAAAGCACCGGAUCCCAUCAGAACUCCGAAGUUAAGCGUGCUUGGGCGAGAGUAGUACUAGGAUGGGUGACCUCCUGGGAAGUCCUCGUGUUGCAUUCCUUUUAUAAUUAUUUUUUGCGCCUUGUGACAAACAUGUCGCACGUGCGCGAUAUAUAUUAAUCCCGUUAUAUUAUGUUUGACGUUUGCGAUAUGUUUAAGCUCGAUGCUCAUUACUCGCGCGUCUUGGGGCGGCUUUGUGGCGCGAAGAGCGCGUUCUGAAAGGGGUGGAAAAAACUCGUGUUGCUGCGGUAUGGAGGGAGGGGUGGAAACCGUGGAAAACUCGUCUCCGUGAUUGAGCGGGGGAGUAAGUAGUAUAGGACAUUAUCCAUUGUUAGGGAACGGUUGUAAUGGUAGUGGGAAUGUAGAAUCGUCUUUGGAGCGGACCUGGGAGUGGCAAGCAUAAGGGACGAAGACGGGGAAACAUGUCGGAUGCGAUCAUACCAGCACUAAAGCACCGGAUCCCAUCAGAACUCCGAAGUUAAGCGUGCUUGGGCGAGAGUAAUACUAGGAUGGGUGACCUCCUGGGAAGUCCUCGUGUUGCAUUCCUUUUAUAAUUAUUUUUUGCGCCUUGUGACAAACAUGUCGCACGUGCGCGAUAUAUAUUAAUCCCGUUAUAUUAUGUUUGACGUUUGCGAUAUGUUUAAGCUCGAUGCUCAUUGCUCGCGCGUCUUGGGGCGGCUUUGUGGCGCGAAGAGCGCGUUCUGAAAGGGGUGGAAAAAACUCGUGUUGCUGCGGUAUGGAGGGAGGGGUGGAAACCGUGGAAAACUCGUCUCCGUGAUUGAGCGGGAGAGUAAGUAGUAUAGGACAUUAUCCAUUGUUAGGGAACGGUUGUAAUGGUAGUGAGAAUGUAGAAUCGUCUUUGGAGCGGACCUGGGAGUGGCAAGCAUAAGGGACGAAGACGGGGAAACAUGUCGGAUGCGAUCAUACCAGCACUAAUGCACUGGAUCCCAUCAGAACUCCGAAGUUAAGCGUGCUUGGGCGAGAGUAGUACUAGGAUGGGUGACCUCCUGGGAAGUCCUCGUGUUGCAUUCCUUUUAUAAUUAUUUUUUGCGCCUUGUGACAAACAUGUCGCACGUGCGCGAUAUAUAUUAAUCCCGUUAUAUUAUGUUUGACGUUUGCGAUAUGUUUAAGCUCGAUGCUCAUUGCUCGCGCGUCUUGGGGCGGCUUUGUGGCGCGAAGAGCGCGUUCUGAAAGGGGUGGAAAAAACUCGUGUUGCUGCGGUAUGGAGGGAGGGGUGGAAACCGUGGAAAACUCGUCUCCGUGAUUGAGCGGGAGAGUAAGUAGUAUAGGACAUUAUCCAUUGUUAGGGAACGGUUGUAAUGGUAGUGAGAAUGUAGAAUCGUCUGUGGAGCGGACCUGGGAGUGGCAAGCAUAAGGGACGAAGACGGGGAAACAUGUCGGAUGCGAUCAUACCAGCACUAAAGCACCGGAUCCCAUCAGAACUCCGAAGUUAAGCGUGCUUGGGCGAGAGUAGUACUAGGAUGGGUGACCUCCUGGGAAGUCCUCGUGUUGCAUUCCUUUUAUAAUUAUUUUUUGCGCCUUGUGACAAA